rnacentral:tRNA from 1 species
UAAUUACCUUGGUCUUGUAAACCAAAGACGGAGAACACCACAACCCUCCCUAAGACU